ACGGGAGGCAGCAGUGGGGAAUUUUGGACAAUGGGCGCAAGCCUGAUCCAGCAAUGCCGCGUGUGUGAAGAAGGCCUUCGGGUUGUAAAGCACUUUUGUCCGGAAAGAAAACCCCGGUCCUAAUACGGCGGGGGGAUGACGGUACCGGAAGAAUAAGCACCGGCUAACUACGUGCCAGCAGCCGCGGUAAUACGUAGGGUGCGAGCGUUAAUCGGAAUUACUGGGCGUAAAGCGUGCGCAGGCGGUCCGUUAAGACAGAUGUGAAAUCCCCGGGCUUAACCUGGGAACUGCAUUUGUGACUGGCGGGCUAGAGUAUGGCAGAGGGGGGUAGAAUUCCACGUGUAGCAGUGAAAUGCGUAGAGAUGUGGAGGAAUACCGAUGGCGAAGGCAGCCCCCUGGGCCAAUACUGACGCUCAUGCACGAAAGCGUGGGGAGCAAACAGGAUUAGAUACCCUGGUAGUCCACGCCCUAAACGAUGUCAACUAGUUGUCGGGUCUUCAUUGACUUGGUAACGUAGCUAACGCGUGAAGUUGACCGCCUGGGGAGUACGGUCGCAAGAUUAAAACUCAAAGGAAUUGACGGGGACCCGCACAAGCGGUGGAUGAUGUGGAUUAAUUCGAUGCAACGCGAAAAACCUUACCUACCCUUGACAUGGACGGAACCUGGCUGAAAGGCCGGGGUGCUCGAAAGAGAACCGUCGCACAGGUGCUGCA
rnacentral:rRNA from 1 species